AAACUUACCUGGUCAGGAAUGGCGCAGCUCCGCCAUUGCGCUGUUCUAUUCUCGAGCAGGUCAAUGCACUCAGACGUCUGUAAAGGAGUACGAGCUCUCUUUUGGGGGUGUCGAUGGCAUAAUUUUUGCUAGAGGUGUUUUGCUUUCGGGCUGGCACUAA